GGCGUACAGGACGAACGCUGGCGGCGUGCCUAACACAUGCAAGUCGAGCGAGGAGAUCCUUCGGGAUGAUCCUAGCGGCGGACGGGUGAGUAACACGUGGACAACCUGCCUCAUAGAGAGGAAUAGCCUUCCGAAAGGGAGAUUAAUACCUCAUAACAUUGCAGUUUCGCAUGGAACAGCAAUUAAAGGAGUAAUCCGCUAUGAGAUGGGCCCGCGGCGCAUUAGCUAGUUGGUGAGGUAACGGCUCACCAAGGCGACGAUGCGUAGCCGACCUGAGAGGGUGAUCGGCCACAUUGGGACUGAGACACGGCCCAGACUCCUACGGGAGGCAGCAGUGGGGAAUAUUGCACAAUGGGGGAAACCCUGAUGCAGCCAACGCCGCGUGAGUGAUGACGGCCUUCGGGUUGUAAAGCUCUGUCUUCAGGGACGAUAAUGACGGUACCUGAGGAGGAAGCCACGGCUAACUACGUGCCAGCAGCUGC
rnacentral:rRNA from 1 species